UACGGUCUCUCUGGCCCGACCUCCCAACCCUAUGUCUACUUGACCAUCGUUGCUUCGGCGAGCCCGUCCUCACGGACCGCCGGAGGGACCUUCACCGGCCCUCUGGUCCGCGCUCGUCGGUAGCCCAACCAUUAAAAUCUUUAACCAAACGUGCCUUAAUCUAAGUACAAUUAUUAAAUAAAAGCAAAACUUUCAACAACGGAUCUCUUGGUUCUGGCAUCGAUGAAGAACGCAGCGAAAUGCGAUAAGUAAUGCGAAUUGCAGAAUUCCAGUGAGUCAUCGAAUCUUUGAACGCACAUUGCGCCCUUUGGUAUUCCGAAGGGCAUGCCUGUUCGAGCGUCAUUAUCACCCCUCAAGCCCCUGGCUUGGUGUUGGACGGUUUGGUGGAGGCCCCCUCGGGGGCUCCUGCCCCUCCCAAAGACAAUGACGGCGGCCUCGUUGGACCCCCGGUACACUGAGUUCUUCACGGGACACGUAUCGGAUACAUGGGUUUACGGGACACGGUCUGCCUCCCCUCAGGGAGAAUCUUUCUAAGGUUGACCUCGGAUCAGGUAGGGAUACCCGCUGAACUUAAGCAUAUCAAUAAGCGGAGGAAAAAGAAAAAAG
rnacentral:rRNA from 1 species